rnacentral:rRNA from 1 species
AGGAUGAACGCUGGCGGUCUGCUUAACACAUGCAAGUCGAACGGGCGUAGCAAUACGUUAGUGGCGGACGGGUGAGUAACGCGUGAGAAUCUACCUUCAGGACGGAGACAACAGUUGGAAACGACUGCUAACCCCCGAUGUACUGAAAAGGCAAAUAUUUAUAGCCUGAAGAAGAGCUCGCGUCCGAUUAGCUAGUUGGAGAGGUAAAAGCUCACCAAGGCGACGAUCGGUAGCUGGUCUGAGAGGACGAUCAGCCACACUGGGACUGAGACACGGCCCAGACUCCUACGGGAGGCAGCAGUGGGAAUUUUCCGCAAUGGGCGAAAGCCUGACGGAGCAAGACCGCGUGGGGGAAGAAGGCUCUUGGGUUGUAAACCCCUUUUCUCUGGGAAGAAAGUUGUGAAGCAGCCUGACGGUACCAGAGGAAUCAGCAUCGGCUAACUCCGUGCCAGCAGCCGC